rnacentral:rRNA from 1 species
AACGAACGCUGGCGGCAUGCCUAACACAUGCAAGUCGAACGAGACCUUCGGGUCUAGUGGCGCACGGGUGCGUAACGCGUGGGAACCUGCCCUUAGGUUCGGAAUAACUCCCCGUAAGGGGUGCUAAUACCGGAUAAUGUCUUCGGACCAAAGAUUUAUCGCCUUUGGAUGGGCCCGCGUUGGAUUAGCUAGUUGGUAGGGUAAAAGCCUACCAAGGCGACGAUGCAUAGCUGGUCUGAGAGGAUGAUCAGCCACACUGGGACUGAGACACGGCCCAGACUCCUACGGGAGGCAGCAGUGGGGAAUAUUGGACAAUGGGCGAAAGCCUGAUCCAGCCAUGCCGCGGGAGUGAUGAAGGCCUUAGGGUUGUAAAGCUCUUUUACCCGGGAUGAUAAUGACAGUACCGGGAGAAUAAGCUCCGGCUAACUCCGUG